rnacentral:rRNA from 1 species
CCUACGGGCGGCAGCAGUGGGGAAUAUUGCACAAUGGGGGAAACCCUGAUGCAGCGACGCCGCGUGCGUGAAGAAGUAUCUCGGUAUGUAAAGCUCUAUCAGCAGGGAAGAAAAUGACGGUACCUGACUAAGAAGCCCCGGCUAACUACGUGCCAGCAGCCGCGGUAAUACGUAGGGGGCAAGCGUUAUCCGGAUUUACUGGGUGUAAAGGGGCCGUAGACGGCAGUGCAAGCCGGAAGUGAAAGCCCGCGGCCCAACUGCGGGACUGCUUUGGAAACUGCCCGGCUGGAGUGCUGGAGGGGUAGGCGGAAUUCCUGGUGUAGCGGUGAAAUGCGUAGAUAUCAGGAGGAACACCGGUGGCGAAGGCAGCUUGCUGGACAGUAACUGACGUUGAGGCUCGAAAGCGUGGGGAGCAAACAGGAUUAGAUACCCGUGUAGUC